GACGAACGCUGGCGGCGUGCUUAACACAUGCAAGUCGAACGGUGAAGCCCUUCGGGGUGGAUCAUUGGCGAACGGGUGAGUAACACGUGAGCAACCUGCCCCUGGCUCUGGGACAACCACUGGAAACGGUGGCUAAUACCGGACUCGUCCCGCCUCCGCACUGCGUGUGGGUGCAAAGUUUCUCGGCUGGGGAUGGGCUCGCGGCCGAUCAGCUCGUUUGUGAGGUUAAGGCUCAUCAAGGCGCCGACGGGUAGCCGGCCUGAGAGGGGGACCGGCCACACUGGGACUAAGAAACGGCCCAGUCGGCUACGGGAGGCAGCAGGGGGGAAUAUUACACAGUGGGCGAAAGCGUGAUGCAGCGACGCCGCGUGAGGGAUGACGGCCUUCGGGUUGUAAACCUCUUUCAGCUCCGAAGAAGCGAAAGUGACGGUAGGAGCAGAAGAAGCACCGGCUAACUACGUG
rnacentral:rRNA from 1 species